UGUAAUCUCAUUCCCCUCCCCCGCACGGUCCCGUUUCUACCUGACGGGAGAGUUUUUCAAAGGCAACAAGUUCUGAUAAUCCUAUGAUAUACAUAUUACAUUGUUCUUCUUUUUUUCACCCUUUUGUCCUAAACUUAAGUAGAAGUAUCUGGCUCGCCAUCUGGAUGCCAGACACGACUCAGUACUGGAACCUGGAGGGCUGUUUUUCUAGUCAGAGUCAUCCGGGAAUAACAAGGGCGAAAAGCGAAGAAAAUAAGCUGCGUGUUGUUUUCUUUAUGCUACUACGAGAAUUCAUGUCGCGCUAUUUUCCCACGAUCAUCUGUCGUUUGACGAUAAUAUCUGCGCUCCUGCUGACCAGAGAAACGAACAGUGGAAGUGUGACAGUGGUUCAAGGAGGCACUGCUAUCUUACCGUGCCAAAUCAUCCACACUGAUGAUGAUUUGACGCAGAUUACCUGGCAGAGGACAACCAGAGAAAAACCUCAUAAUGACAAUUUUAUCACUAUCCAACCAAGGGAAGAACCACGGUUUGUCAAUGGACAUGAUGAUCGAUUUAAGUAUAUCGGGAAUUUUAACAACAAAAUUGGAACCCUCCAGUUAUCCAGUGUUGCACUGAAGGAUGAAGGCAGAUACACGUGCAUCUUCACAUUGUUUCCCAGUGGAAAUCAGAAGACUGAGAUACUUCUUAUAGUGAUUGUGCCUCCUUUCACAAGUGUCAAGGACAACCUUCCGACUUUGGGCACUGAAGAGGUUUUAUUUGCUACCUGCACGGCUGCUGGAUCGAAGCCUCCUGCUGAGGUGAGGUGGCUCACUGGUGCUUUGGGAGACAAAGUGAGAACAACGACAAUCUCCACCCAGUAUGACAACGAUACAACUACCACAGUCAGCUCUCUGUUUGGCGUACCUACGAGAGAGAUUAAUGGUCACCAGGUCCAGUGUGUCAUCAGUGGUGACUCCCUGACUAAAGAAGAAACCCUGCCCUUCACCAUACAGAUCUACUUCUCUCCCACAGAAGUGAACAUUAGAGAAAUUUCAGAGGACUCAUUUGAGUGUGUGACAGAAGCCAACCCAAGCGCAAACUUUACCUGGAGCAGAUCUGGCCAGACUUUGCUGCAGUCUUCUAUCAAAGUCGACGGUGCAGAGCUACAACUGCUGAGCCUGACCUCUGAUCAAAAUGGCCUCUAUCAGUGUGAAGCAUCUAAUGCAUAUGGAACUAAACAUGGUCAGCUCUAUGUGCAUGUGGCAUCAGGAGCAUGCUCUGCUGUUUGGGCCCUAGUUGGUGUUUUGUUUUUCCUGAAUGUUGCUGUUGCUGCAGUAUGGUACCUUGAUAAAUCCAGACAGCUUCAAAGGUGUUUUCCAUCACAUGGUGAUGGGCCUAGAGACCCACCAUCUCCCAGGAGUGCAGGAGAUGAUCAAAGACGAGAACAAGAACAACUGCAGGAAAGAGCCAGACUCACUCUACAGUGUUUGCUGUAAGCUGCAUCACUUUCCACCUUGGUGAAAGGGGGUAUUUGUGAGAGCCAGCAAAAAUGCUUUCCAUUUGACAACAUGUCUUUACUCUACACAUUAAAACAGUCUUCUCAAACUGUGGAGCUGGUGGUGCACGGACUACUGUAGGGAAUAACUGGGGACAUUUCAGAGAAAGCUGGAGAAUUUCUUUGUUAAAGCAUUACACAGUCAGGGUUCCCUGCUUUUGGAAAGCUAUACAUCAUAUCAAAUCAUAUAUCAUACACCUGUGUCCCAGAUGGUUGUACUUUUCAAUUUAUUUAGGUUUUUGUGUGGCAGCUUUUUUUAAGCAUUCAAUCACUAAAGUGUGUUGUUUGAUCUGUAUUCUAAAUUGACUAAUUAUAAAUCGUUCAGUGUGCUUGCUUUAUAUCUUGUGUUUUUUUAUUGUUUGCUUAAAAUUAAACUUUGUUUUGUAAUUGCUUUUAUAACAUGUUACACUGCUGAAAUACUUUUUGUUACCAUUUUUCUUCAAAAGUAAAUAAACAUGCAUAAAAUCAGUA